rnacentral:miRNA from 1 species
AUGAGUAAUACACAUACAAAGUUGCACAAAUACGUAUUUGUGCAAGUUUGUGUGUGUGUUACUCAU